GCCAGGUGUGGUGGUGCACACCUGUAAUCCCAGCUACUGGGGAGGCUGAGGCAGGAGAAUUGCUUGAACCUGGGAGGCAGAGGCUGCAGUGAGGCAAGAUCUUGCCACUGCACUCCAGCCUGGGUGACAGAGCAAGACUCUGUCUGAA
rfam:Pan troglodytes isolate Yerkes chimp pedigree #C0471 (Clint) chromosome 3, whole genome shotgun sequence.